AUGAACGCUGGCGGCGUACCUAACGCAUGCAAGUCGAACGGGGGGAAGUAGCAAUACAACCCUAGUGGCAAACGGGUGAGUAACACGUGGGUACCUACCCUCGAGUGGGGAAUAACGAGCCGAAAGGUUCGCUAAUACCGCAUGAGCUCGAGAGAGGAAAGGUGUGUCUUCGACACAUCGCUGGAGGAGGGACCUGCGGUCGAUCAGGUAGUUGGUGAGGGUAACGGCUCACCAAGCCGCUGACCGAUAGCUGAUCUGAGAGGAUGACCAGCCACACUGGCACUGUGACACGGGCCAGACUCCUACGGGAGGCAGCAACGAGGAAUAUUGCACAAUGGGCGCAAGCCUGAUGCAGUAACGCCGCGUGCGGGAUGAAGACCUUCGGGUUGUAAACCGCUUUUCAACGAGACGAGUGAGGACGGUAUCGUUGGAAUCAGUCUCGGCUAACUACGUGCCAGCAGCCGCGGUAAGACGUAGGAGGCGAGCGUUAUCCGGAUUCACUGGGCGUAAAGCGCAUGUAGGCGGUUGGACAAGUCCUUACUGAAAGCCCCUGGCUCAACUGGGGGAGGCGUGAGGAGACUGUACGGCUGGAGGGCAGGAGAGGUCGGUGGAACUCCCGGUGUAGCGGUGGAAUGCGUAGAGAUCGGGAAGAACAUCAGUGGCGAAGGCGACCGACUGGGCUGCACCUGACGCUGAAAUGCGAAAGUGUGGGGAGCAAACGGGAUUAGAUACCCCGGUAGUCCACACCCUAAACGAUGAACACUAGGUGUGGGUGGGAAUGCCAUCCGUGCCGUAGCCAACGCGUUAAGUGUUCCGCCUGGGGACUAUGAGCGCAAGCUUAAAACUCAAAGGAAUUGACGGGGGCCCGCACAAGCAGCGGAGCGUGCGGUUCAAUUCGAUGCGACACGAAGAACCUUACCAGGGUUUGACAUGGACGUGGUAGCGACCUGAAAAGGAAGCGACUCGCAAGAGAGCGUUCACAGGUGAUGCAUGGCUGUCGUCAGCUCGUGCCGUGAGGUGUUGGGUUAAGUCCCGCAACGAGCGCAACCCCUGUUGCCAGUUACAAGUGUCUGGCGAGACUGCCGGCUAUUGGUCGGAGGAAGGCGGGGAUGACGUCAAGUCAGCAUGUCCUUUAUAUCCUGGGCAACACGCACGCUACAAUGGAUGUAGAUAGAGCGUCGCCAAGCCGAAAGGCGGAGCAAAUCGCACAAAAGCAUCCACAGUUCAGAUUGCCGGCUGCAACCCGCCGGCAUGAAGUCGGAGUUGCUAGUAAACGCGCGUCAGCCAUAGUGCGUUGAAUACGUUCCCGGGCCUUGUACACACCGCCCGUCACGUCAUGGAAGUCGGCAACACCUGAAGUCGGUGAGCGAACCGCAAGGACGCAGCCGCCGAAGGUGGGGCUGGUAACUGGGACG
rnacentral:rRNA from 1 species